AUUGGCUUUAUAUAUAUAUCUAUGGUAAAUCCCAUCCAGUUUCGCGGUGUUUUAUAUCUCGCAGUAUCUCGCGGUAUCGCGUCGACCAGUAAUAGUUGAGUGUUUUGGUGAUGUCAUGCGGUCACGUACGUUUUGGCGCCUUUCAGUCUGAGGAGGAGAAGCGGGGAGGAGGUAUUAGCGACAAACUACAGGCCGGUUUAAGCUCAGUUUUAACGGUUUCACUUAAACAACAAAUGUCAUUAAAUGUGUGUUUUAUAUCAACUUGUAGGACCCUUCUACUGCGCCUUUAUCUGUGUUUUUGACGAUGAGAAGAACGUGUUGUUUGGCGAUAAACCGACGACGGGUGAGUUUGUUAUUGCUAGCGUGCUAGCGUUAGCCGGUCCCAUUCAUUCCAAUGACAGCGGUUAGCUAAACUCUUUGGUUUUAAAUAUACUGUUUCUCCAAAUGAAAAGCAAAAUGUCUGUAAUUGUAUUCAGAUGAAAAUGUGUUGCUGUUACCAUCUGUGUAAUGAUUGUUGAGUAUGAACCUACUGGAAAAAGUGAGGUUAUAUAAACAUUAAUUCUUAGCACUUUAUUUAAGACUUGAAUGUGUUUGAUCAUUAUCUAUCUUAAUGUCUAUCGACCAUACUUGUUAAAUAAUACUAUACAUGUUGUUCAUUGAUAAUGCUAGUAGUAUUUGCUUUUUAUUUCAUAUUGAAUUUAUUGAAAUUUACUACAGCUCAGCCUGUGCUUUAGAAGAAUCAUGUGUACACAAGGAUUUAUUGUUGAUUAGCUACGUAGUGUGUAUGUGUGUGUAUAUACACAUAUAUACACAAACAUACAUAUGUGUGUGUGUGUGUGUGUGUGUGUGUGUGUAUGUAUAUUUUUUUAUUUAUAUUUAAAGAUGAUAAUUUUUCAUUUUUUUUAACUGUGGUCCUGAUCCACAGGCCAGGUCCACAUGAGACGGUACGCUAAGGAGCAGACCUAGAUCCCACAUUGACAUCAAGUCUCAUCUGCACCUCUCCUGCCAGGCCGGUAGGGGGCUCACUGGAGCCCACUGAAAACUCGUACACCCACUCAUUCAAUCAGCACCCCUCAUUCAAACACAUUCCCCCCUGAAAACCUUUUCCACAAGCGUUUCCCCUAGACUUAUUCUCAACCCAGACGUGUGUCUUUCCCUUCAUAAACGGUGGAUGGGUUGCUGGGGUCAGGUUUUGGUGUUUCAUUAGACUGUAUGCUGUAUGGUGAAUGAUUGUUGGGCAAACCAAGAAUAUUUUAUUAUUAUUGUUUUGCUUGAAUGGCCAUUCCUUCACUGUAUAUAUCUGCACUCUGGUUGUUUUUUAAAUAAUAUAUUACAUCAUUCAAAAAAACUGUAGUCUUCUGGUUACUAGUCCACCACCAAGGAUUACUUCAGUAAUCA
rnacentral:lncRNA from 1 species